rnacentral:rRNA from 1 species
GACGAACGCUGGCGGCGUGCCUAAUACAUGCAAGUCGAGCGCAGGAAACUGACGGAACUCUUCGGAGGGAAGGCAGCGGAAUGAGCGGCGGACGGGUGAGUAACACGUAAGGAACCUGCCUCAAGGAUUGGGAUAACUCCGAGAAAUCGGAGCUAAUACCGGAUAGUUCAUCGGACCGCAUGGUCCGCUGAUGAAAGGCGCUCCGGCGUCACCAUGAGAUGGACUUGCGGUGCAUUAGCUAGUUGGUGGGGUAACGGCCCACCAAGGCGACGAUGCAUAGCCGACCUGAGAGGGUGAUCGGCCACACUGGGACUGAGACACGGCCCAGACUCCUACGGGAGGCAGCAGUAGGGAAUCUUCCACAAUGGACGAAAGUCUGAUGGAGCAACGCCGCGUGAGUGAUGAAGGUUUUCGGAUCGUAAAACUCUGUUGUAAGGGAAGAACACGUACGAGAGGGAAUGCUCGUACCUUGACGGUACCUUACGAGAAAGCCACGGCUAACUACGUGCCAGCAGCCGCAGUAAUAC